CAGUGAGUCUGACGACGCGAAUAGUGCUUCUAGAAUUGUAUUCCUUUUCAUUUCGCGUUCUCUAUUUAUCGUCUCGUUACAUCUGUUGACGAUCAGCCACGACGAAAUUCUUUGAGUCUUGAAACGCGCUUUCAGCGAUGAUGGACCCUCGUAGGAUGGGUUUUUUUCUCGUGUUUUGUGAGUCAAGCUGGACCAUCUGGUGCAACGAUAAAAUGAAUAAAUUUGUAUCAGGCUACAAAGCUUUGAAAAAACCUUUCAUGGGAUACGAAGCAAGUUUCACUUGUAAUUGAACUGAAAGCAAACUCCCGAAAACACUGAGAUUGUUCAUUGGAUUAUUUUUGUAUUUCGAUCGGAAUAAAUGAAAAUGUAUUCAGUCUUCAAUUUUUUCCUGAUAAUUCCGAAUUUCUCUUAUCUCGUAUCGGAGGUGCGUAUAUACUCGAGUUCGAGAAAUCGAUUUAUAACGUUCUCGAGAAAUAUAUUUUUGUUCAUUUCUCACCGUGAAGGCAAGAACUUCCCAAUUCUCAACUUCCAGAAUUUCUAUGCUGGAGGCAAAACAGUGUUUGAAGAAAAUAAGUUCCGCAUGAAAAAAUGAUGUAUUCUGAAUAUAUUUUAAAACGAAUCCACCGUUUCGCGCAUAUGUGCUGGAAAAAAACGAAACUGCGGUCGUCUCGAGUGCUGUGCUGUUGAAUUAACUUUUCGCCAUAACAUUUUUUCCCAACUGAAUUUGUUCGAUGAAUAAAAUUAUUAUGUCUGUGUUGCAUUAUUGACGAAAAUAUAUCGAUAUCCAUCAGCCCAUUGUUCGAAGCUUGCUGAUAAUAACGUGCUUGUUAUUAUUGCGAAAUAAUCAAAUAAUGUAACUCGAGCCAUGUUUCUCAAAAGUUCUCUGGUUACAAGAAUAUGUGACCGUUCAGUGUGCAUAUCUUUAAAGUGUAAACGGUGCGAUCCAAUCCAAUGUGAAAUAAUUUCAGCGCAAUAAAUUAAAUUGUUGGCGAAGGAAAAUAUUUUAAAAACAAUGAGUAAAAUAGACAAGUUACAAAUGUCAUAAUUCUCUCGAAUCAACACGAACGAAAUACGCAUUUUUCUCUGACUCGACCAUAAUUUGUUAUCACCACGUAAGCUCGUGACAAAAAAAAAGAGAAAAACCAAGUUUACACGUACGACAGUGCGAGUGAAAUACUGCAAUUGUAGCCAAACACUAUUUUCCCAUCAUUUUUAUUCUCACGUAAAUAACUGGAGCCAUUAAACUGUUGUGAGAAUUUUUUUUAACGAAAAUUAAACGAAUUUAAAAAAACGAACGACGAACACCUAAAAAUACACUGAGAGAAAAAAUUAUUAAAUUUGAGAACAUGUAUUUACUUAUUAAAUCAAAGUAUUGUUUCGAUUAUUUAUUUGUUGAACCAAGCGAAUCACUCUUGAUUUGAAAACUUAUUUUCAUGGAUCUAUUACUUCAUUAUAUUAAACUCUUAUUUAAUUCAUUGUUCAAAAACGUGCUCAAAGUUGAUAGUGCGCGUAAAAAGCACUUUUUCGGUUAAAUCUCUCGUAAAAAAUUAAAUUUUGAGUUUUGAAAAAAAUCCUUACAGAGUUUUACAGACAAGGGUCCAUGCUUUAAGGGAAAAAUAGUCCACUUUGCAACCGUUCCAAAAAGUGUAUUUAUUUUGGAGUAUGAAGUUGGCUAUGCUCCCUACUUUUAGAGAGGGGAUAACGAUGUCUUAAUAUUGGGGGCUUUACUUAUGAGAUGCUCAUCUGUAAAUGCUAUUCAUGUGAGGAAAAAAUUUUGGGGUCAACCUGAUCCCAGAUGCACACUAAGGGUAGUAUCGAUUAGAUGCAUGAUAGAUUUGAUUAAAUUUUUUUUGCUUGGAUUAAUUACAUUUAUCGCAUCAAAAACAUUAUAUUAUUUGAAUCUACAAAACGACUUCAAUACGAAAUUGCUUUUUUCGAAAAAAUUAUUUUCUUGCAAUGAAUUCAUCAUCAUUUUGUUUCUAAAAAUAUUUUUAUUAAAAUAAUUAAUCUAAUUGUUACUAUUAAAUAAGAACUCAAUAUGAUGAAGUGAUACAUCCGUGAAAAUAUGUUUUCAAAUUAACAGUAAUUGUCAAGGUUCAACAAAUAAAUAAUCGAUAUAAUACUUUUCGCAACUUAUAUAAUUCCUUUUUCAGUUUAUAUCUAACAAAGUCGUGAUAGUCUAGCGUACCUAGAAAGAUGUAGGUAGGUAUCGCGAAUCCCCAUGCAGGUUAGAAUUUUUCUUCGAUUAAAAUGGUUUCAGAGAUGUACCAUAAACUGUGACGACCAUCACGGGCAGUGAAAAAUAAUUUUGCAAUUGAUAACAUAAUACUGUUAAAAUACAUAAACAAUAUAAUAUAGUUAAAAUCAUGGUUUAUAAAAAGAAUAAGUGCUUCCUUCAAAAACAUGCAUGUUUUGAAUCAUAAAAUGUAUCAUCGAUUCAAACUACAUAUUACAUAUAUAAUUGAUAUAAAAUUGUUAGAUUAAAGCAACUACUGUUAUGGAAACAAAAAUUUAUGAAAUUGACUGAAAUAAAUUAACCAAGUAAAUAUAUGAGGGAACCGAUCUAAUAUGUUUUGGCGAAUAAUGAAAUAAAUGAUUUUUUCGCUUCAAAACUACAUUUUAUUGGUUCUAGUAUUUUUUUUUUCUCAGUGUAUAAAGAUAAAGCUAUUUGACUGAUGGGUAAUCCGAAAAACAUGAACAUAAUAAUUAGUUUCUUUACGCAGUGAGCGAAAGGAUAUUUUUGUUUUUGAAUAAUCGACGCUGUUCAUAGUUGUUAUUUUGUAUUCACAAUCCAUUCAACACUUGUACAAUUGUAUGUUUAAUUGUAAUUUUUCGUCCUUGAAAAAAAAACAAUUGUAAUAAAAGUAAAAUUAAGGUGCCUGCAAUCGGCAGGUUUUCAACAGUUUCCCUCGGCUAAAGCAUGCAUUAGGGGAAAACGGCUAAAGUGGAAUUAAAGUGAUAGAAUGAUUAAUGAUCUCGUAGAGACUCGAUACGUCAUAUACAAGAUCAAUGAGAGAAUUUUUUUUUUAAUAUUGAAAAAUAAAUUUACUUUAUUAUUGCUAUUCGUAUAAUAGAAACAAGACAAGAUCUGUGUGUAUUGAACAAAGAAGAAUUCAAGUAGAAAUUGGCCAUUGUGUGAGGAGAAAAAGCAAAGAUUACUCAUGGUUAUCAUUGGUAAGAUAAAAGUGUUUGAGAUUUCCGUACACGUGAAACGAUCGAUACCAAUCGACGUGGCUUUCCCUUAGUUCUUUUUAUUUUAUCAUUUUCGUUUACAAAAGAGCCUCGGACGCAUCACCCUUAUUUUUUGUGGGAUAUUUUUAGAUUCGUUUUCUUUUUUUUCUUAUGAAAAAGCGUUGGUUUCGUAGGGUGUAGUCGAAAUACCGAGGAUACGUGGAUUAUUUAUCAGGAAAUGAGUCAGCAUGAGGCAGAUAUUAACCCUUAGUAGUCACACCUCCGGAUUGUGACGUAAUAGUCAUUUGUGAGUGAGUGGGGUGUAAUCCACUCCACUCACUUUGGAGAGCGAUAAAUAGUUAACAAAAAAUUGUAAAAAAUAACAAAAUCAAAAUACUACAAUGUAUUUUCAACUCUUGAGAAACGACCAUGACGAUUUUAUUUUAUUCGUGCAAUUUUUAAUAUUAAAAAAAAUGUCGAAAAAAAUGACUUUUUACAAAAAAUUAUGUAGAAUUCGUAAUUUUCAAUAUAAAAAAAAUCAAAUCGUUUUCUAAGCCUGAAAUAUCACGCUUCCAGGUAGAAAUGGUUAAA